AGUCGGUUAUACGGUUGCGGGCAAAGAAAUUUGCGUGAGGAAAGUCCGGGCGUCAUAGGACAGGGUGCCUGCUAACGGCAGGUGGAGGCGACUUUAAGGAAAGUGAACAGAAACAUACCGCAUUGCGUUUUCGCAUUGUAAGGUUGCAAUGGCGAGGUAAGAGCUCACCGCUCGGGUGGUAACACCCUUGGCUAGUCAAACCCCACCCGACGCAAGAUUGGGAUUAAGGCAGUAUUAGUUUACAGGGCUGUCCGUCCGUCUUAAUCCGUUAAUAUCGCUUGAGCUUACAGGCGACUGUAAGAUUAGAUAGAUAACCGUACACGACAGAACCCGGCUUACAGACCGA
rnacentral:RNase_P_RNA from 1 species